GGAACUGUGCCUGAAUGCCCAAGGACCACUUUGAUAGAGUGAACCAUGGAGGUUAAAAUCCCCCCAGUUCUU
rnacentral:tRNA from 1 species